UACGAAACGCCUGCAGCAAUACCAGAUACAGACGACCAGUCGGCGCGAUGGUGGCGAUAUGCGACAUCAACGAGUAUCGCAAGUGUGCGAAACAGCUGAAGGUGACCUUGGUGAACACACUGUUUGAGACGCUGCAUGCUCUAUGCAACCUUUUACUCGUGCAGCCGGCAAACAUCAAGCAAGUCUGCUCCGGUGAACAACUGGCGGCCAUCCGACGAGGACAUCCUCGCCUCGUUCU